UACGUAGGGUGCGAGCGUUGUCCGGAAUUACUGGGCGUAAAGCGUGCGCAGGCGGUUCGUCGUGUCUGAUGUGAAAGCCCCGGGCUCAACCUGGGAAUGGCAUUGGAAACUGGCGGACUAGAGUGUGGCAGAGGGGGGUGGAAUUCCACGUGUAGCAGUGAAAUGCGUAGAGAUGUGGAGGAAUACGAUGGCGAAGGCAGCCUCCUGGGCCAACACUGACGCUCAUGCACGAAAGCGUGGGGAGCAAACAGG
rnacentral:rRNA from 1 species